rnacentral:precursor_RNA from 14 species
GACGUGAUUAGCAGCGUCUCCUUCUACCCGUACCCUGUAGAUCCGAAUUUGUGAUUAUUUGAAGACACGAAUUCGUUUCUACGGGUGACAGGUCGUAGUGAGGAAUCCAGCGGGCGAGCU